UUACCGUGAACAUCGAGGCGUGCGGUGCUGGAGACGAUGCCAGCGUCAUUCUUGGCUGACACCGUGUACCAACCAGCGUCUUCUUUCAUGGCCGGCUGGAUGAUCAUACACAGGUAGCCACAGUUGUCCUGGUGCAUGCUGGGAAAGAACAUUGAACAUGAGUUAGAGAAGAUUUGCGGGUAGGGAACUCCGGUCACCCGACACUCCAUCCUCACAGGAUGACCCUCUGCCACGGUUGUGUUCUGCAGCUUCUCCACAAAUGAAGGGGCUUUGUGCAUCUCUUUGGCUGUGGAGACAGUCCAUCCGGCACAGUCGGCCCUCCUGAACGAUGAGGUCACCGGGCGCCUGCAGGAAGUGAGGGCGGAAGUGACGCUCCUGGAUGUUAUCGUUCUCAUCGCCGCUGUCUCUGGAUCUGGAUCUGGGCCUGAAGGAGAGAAAACAUGUAGUGUUUAGGAUUAAAACUUACAUUUCUGACAUUUUUAAAGAAUAUUCUGCAAUUUUUUUUUUGUUUGAAUAUGCCGAAUUUUAAAAACUGUCUUAACUUGAGUCAACCUGUGUAAAAAGAAAUUGCAUUCUUCCCCCUUUCAUAGACAUAUUACACAUAUUCACAGCCCUUUUUUUUCUUAUCUCCUUAAAGGCCCUGUGAGGAGU